GGUAGCUCAGUGGUAGAGUGCUUGCCUAGCACGCACAAGGCCCUGGGUUCAAUUCCCAGUACCA
rnacentral:tRNA from 1 species